AAUGAACGUUGGCGGCGUGGAUUAGGCAUGCAAGUCGUACGAGAAUCGUAGCAAUACGAGGAAAGUGGCGGAAGGGAGAGGAUUACGUGGGAAUCUACCCUCAGAACUGGGAUAGCGGCGGGAAACUGCCGGUAAUACCAGAUAAUGUCUGUGGACCAAAGGUGUGAUUCCGUCUGGGGAUGAGCCCACGUCCUAUUAGCUAGUUGGCAGGGUAAUGGCCUACCAAGGCAAUGAUGGGUAGCGGGUGUGAGCGCAUGACCCGCCUCACUGGGACUGAGAACUGCCCAGACCCCUACGGGUGGCUGCAGUCGAGAAUCUUCGGCAAUGAGCGCAAGCUUGACCGAGCGACGCCGCGUGCGGGAUGAAGGCCUUCGGGUUGUAAACCGCUGUCGUAGGGGAGCAAGAGAUGAGGGUACUCCCUCUGAUUUGAGCGAUCCUAGGAGGAAGGACGGGCUAAGUUCGUGCCAGCCGCCGCCGUAAAAC
rnacentral:rRNA from 1 species